UAUCUCGUUUCUCGUGUUUCCAGAAAAUCGGAAUCAGACAGUUGAUGAAGAUGAAAGGAUCAGACUCUGGAGAAAUCUCUUCAUCAUGUCGGGAAUGAUGAACUGUGUUGCAGUCGUUGCAGUAACAGUCUCGAUCGUCAGCUGCUGUGGAAAAACCAAAUCUCUAAACUGUGAUGUGAAGCUUCAGGAAGUCAGUGGAUUGCAGAGUUGGUUUCCAAAAGGGCUUCAUGAAAGCAGCUACACUGUGGUGGAGUUUGUUCUGUUUCACCCUGUGAUGUGACACACACAUACAGGUCAUUGUUUUGUGGUUAUGGUCUGCAUGCUAACAUGUCUCACAUGUGUAUAGCUCCUUCAUCCGCUCCUCGUUCUCACAGUGUGACCUUCUGCAGUAAAAUUCUCCCGAGUUUAGAAUCAGUGACAGGGUGGUGCAAUGAAGUGGAGUUACUGUUUCCACCCUGCAGUUGAUUAUUUUCCCAUAACAGCACAUCCCCAAGUGUUUUAUUCCUCUAAUACACAGCACUUUUUCCACAUCUGUCCCCAUCACUUUGCACCUGUUUAUGUCUUGUCAUUUAUGUUGUUUAUGGUAUUUAGAUAGCUAGAUAGUUAUUUUAUAUCUUGUGUUGUAAUCUUCUAUUUCUCUAUAAAUGCACUAUGUGGAGUCUGAGGGAAACAGUAUUUCAGUGCACUGUGUACUUGUAUAUGGACGUA